rnacentral:rRNA from 1 species
AGCUCCAUUAGCGUAUAUUAAAGUUGUUGCAGUUAAAAAGCUCGUAGUUGGAUUUCGGUGUGGGCCAGUCGGUCGGCCGCAAGGCUUGUUCACUGGCUGGUCUGCUCUCUCAAUCUCAAAGACUGCACGUGCUCUUCACUGUAGUGUGUGUCAGGAUUUGGGACGUUUACUUUGAAAAAAUUAGAGUGUUCAAGGCAGGCUCGCCAGCUUGAAUACAUGAGCAUGGAAUAAUGGAAUAGGACUACGGUCCCUAUUUCGUUGGUUUGACGGACCGAAGUAAUGAUUAAGAGGGACAAUUGGGGGCAUUCGUAUUUAAUUGUCAGAGGUGAAAUUCUUGGAUUUAUGGAAGACGAACUACUGCGAAAGCAUUUACCAAGGAUGUUUUCAUUAAUCAAGAACG